UACAGAGGGUGCAAGCGUUGUUCGGAAUUAUUGGGUGUAAAGCGCGUGUAGGCGGUCAUUUAAGUCUGGUGUGAAAGCCCGGGGCUCAACCCCGGAAGUGCACUGGAUACUGAAUGACUAGAGGAUGAGAGAGGAAGGUGGAAUUCAUGGUGUAGGGGUGAAAUCCGUAGAUAUCAUGAGGAACAUCCGUGGCGAAGGCGACCUUCUGGCUCAUUUCUGACGCUGAGACGCGAAAGCGUGGGGAGCAAACAGG
rnacentral:rRNA from 1 species